AUGCAGUCCAUGGGCAUAUACAC
rnacentral:ncRNA from 3 species